rnacentral:rRNA from 1 species
ACGCUCGACACCUACGGGGGCAGCAGUGGGGAAUAUUGCACAAUGGGGGAAACCCUGAUGCAGCGACGCCGCGUGAGCGAAGAAGUAUUUCGGUAUGUAAAGCUCUAUCAGCAGGGAAGAAAAUGACGGUACCUGACUAAGAAGCCCCGGCUAACUACGUGCCAGUAGCCGCGGUAAUCUGAGCGGGCGUGGCGAAGGCG